GACGAACGCUGGCGGCGUGCUUAACACAUGCAAGUCGAACGGAAAGGCCCUGCUUUUGUGGGGUGCUCGAGUGGCGAACGGGUGAGUAACACGUGAGUAACCUGCCCUUGGCUUUGGGAUAACUUCAGGAAACUGGGGCUAAUACCGGAUAGGAGCUCCUGCUGCAUGGUGGGGGUUGGAAAGUUUCGGCGGUUGGGGAUGGACUCGCGGCUUAUCAGCUUGUUGGUGGGGUAGUGGCUUACCAAGGCUUUGACGGGUAGCCGGCCUGAGAGGGUGACCGGCCACAUUGGGACUGAGAUACGGCCCAGACUCCUACGGGAGGCAGCAGUGGGGAAUAUUGCACAAUGGGCGGAAGCCUGAUGCAGCAACGCCGCGUGCGGGAUGACGGCCUUCGGGUUGUAAACCGCUUUCGCCUGUGACGAAGCGUGAGUGACGGUAAUGGGUAGAGAAGCACCGGCUAACUACGUG
rnacentral:rRNA from 1 species